GACGUAGGGUGCAAGCGUUGUCCGGAUUUACUGGGCGUAAAGAGCGCGUAGGCGGCUCGUUAAGUGAGAAGUGAAAGCUGUGGGCUCAACCAACAAACCGCUUUUCAUACUGGCGAGCUGGAGUGAUGCAGAGGUGGAUAGAAUUCCCGGUGUAGCGGUGAAAUGCGUUGAUAUCGGGAGGAAUACCCGUGGCGAAGGCGGUCCACUGGGCAUCAACUGACGCUGAGGCGCGAAAGCGUGGGUAGCAAACAGG
rnacentral:rRNA from 1 species